rnacentral:rRNA from 1 species
UGCGCAGGCGGGCCGUUAAGUCGGCGGUGAAAUCCCGCGGCUCAACCGCGGAACUGCCGUCGAUACUGGCGGUCUAGAGUACGGGAGAGGAAAGCGGAACUCACGGUGUAGCGGUAAAAUGCGUAGAUAUCGUGGGGAACAUCGGUGGCGAAGGCGGCUUUCUGGCCCGAUACUGACGCUCAGGCACGAAAGCCAGGGGAGCGAACA